GCCAGAAACAGCAACCCUUCUGGGUCCCCUUCCACCACGCAGAAGCUUUACUUUCGCUUUCACUUUACUUUUGCUUUCACUUUAACAAAUCUUGCAGCCGCACACUCUUUGGGUCCGCCCGUUUCUCUAAUCAAGUUGUAACACUCGCUGCUGUGGUCCACAGCUUCAUUCCUUGAAGCCCGUGAGACACGAACGCUUCCAUUGAGAAAAACCUUCCAUCAGAAGAAGACUUCUCGUCUCAGUGGGACUGCUGAGUUGAAUGGUGCUUUUUUUUCUGAAGCUUUGGUAGUGUAACUGUAAGAGUCCUGGAAUUGGAAAAGCAAAUCCAGAAGUUGAGUUCCAUGACUUUUUUGCUGUUUGCCUUUGGACUUGCAUCAUUUAUAUUUUUAAUUCAUCGAGGAUGAGAAAAUUGAUUAACACAAAAUCUUUUCAUGUCUUUUCUGAUGAGAGACUAGCUGAAUCCAAGAAGAGAAGCCCUUGAAGAGUGUAUUCUAUUCUAGACAAGCAUUCACACAUUGGCUUCUUUGGUGCCAGAUCCUGGUCACAGAUUUUGGUGUGGAUGUGGUAAAAAGGGAGCACUUUUACACUGCUGGUGGGAAGGUAAAUUAGUACAACCACAAUGGAAAACUGUAUAGAGAUUCUUUAAAGAACUAGAAGUAGAACCACCAUUUGACCCAGCAAUCCCACUACUGAGUAUAUACCCAGAGGAAAACAAGUUAUUAUAUGAGAAAGAUAAGCACAUGCAUGUUUAUAACAGCACAAGUUGCAAUUGCAAAAAUAUGGAACCAGCCUAAUUGCCCCUCGGUGAACAAGUGGAUAAAGAAAAUGUGGUAUAUCUGCACAAUGGAAUACUACUCAACCAAAAAAGAAAAAAAAAAUGACAUUUACAGCAACCUGGAUGGAGGUUGAAGACAAUUAUUCUAUGUGAAGUAACUCAUUGAUGCAAAACCAAAUAUUGUAGGUUUUCCCUUAUAAGUGGGGCCUAAGCUAUGAGGACACAAAGGCAUAAGAAUGAUAUGAUGGAUUUUGGGGAAUUGAGAGGAAGUUUGGGAGGGAAGUGAGGGAUAAAAGACUACACGCUGGGUACAAUGUACACUGCUCAAGUGACGGGUUCACCAAAAUCUUAGAAAUCGCCACUGAAGAGCUUUUCCAUGUAACCAAAAGCCACCUGCUCCCAAAA
rnacentral:lncRNA from 10 species